CGGCGAGUGAAGCGGCAACAGCUCAAAUUUGAAAUCUGGCCCUAGCGGUCCGAAUUGUAAUUUGUAGAGGAUGCUUUUGGUGCGGUGCCUUCCGAGUUCCCUGGAACGGGACGCCAGAGAGGGUGAGAGCCCCGUACGGUUGGACACCUACCCUAUAUAUAGCUCCUUCGACGAGUCGAGUAGUUUGGGAAUGCUGCUCUAAAUGGGAGGUAAAUUUCUUCUAAAGCUAAAUACCGGCCAGAGACCGAUAGCGCACAAGUAGAGUGAUCGAAAGAUGAAAAGCACUUUGAAAAGAGGGUUAAAUAGCACGUGAAAUUGUUGAAAGGGAAGCGUUUACGACCAGACCUCUUCCAGGCGGAUCAUCCGGUGUUCUCACCGGUGCACUUCGUCUGGUUUAGGCCAGCAUCGGUUUUCGUAGGGGGAUAAAGACCUGGGGAACGUAUCUCCUUCGGGAGUGUUAUAGCCCCUCGUGUAAUACCUCUACGGGGACCGAGGACCGCGCACUGCAAGGAUGCUGGCGUAAUGGUCGUCAACGACCCGUCUUGAAACACGGACCAAGGAGUCGAACAUUUGUGCGAGUGUUUGGGUAUUAAACCCUCACGCGUAAUGAAAGUGAACGGAGGUGAGAGCCCUUCGGGGUGCAUCAUCGACCGAUCCUGAUGUCUUCGGAUGGAUUUGAGUAAGAGCAUAACUGUUCGGACCCGAAAGAUGGUGAACUAUGCGUGGAUAGGGUGAAGCCAGAGGAAACUCUGGUGGAGGCUCGCAGCGGUUCUGACGUGCAAAUCGAUCGUCAAAUCUGCGCAUGGGGGCGAAAGUAUGUAUUAUCCCGGGGUGUAUACCCUAUAAUUCUCCCCUGGAGACAAUAAACAGUAUGCUAACAACAACUUCUUUAGGACUUAUCGAACCAUCUAGUAGCUGGUUACCGCCGAAGUUUCCCUCAGGAUAGCAGUGUUGUGUUCAGUUUUAUGAGGUAAAGCGAAUGAUUAGGGACUCGGGGGCGCUUUAUUGCCUUCAUCCAUUCUCAAACUUUAAAUAUGUAAGAAGCCCUUGUUACUUAAUUGAACGUGGGCAUUCGAAUGUAUCAACACUAGUGGGCCAUUUUUGGUAAGCAGAACUGGCGAUGCGGGAUGAACCGAACGUGGGGUUAAGGUGCCAGAGUGGACGCUCAUCAGACACCACAAAAGGUGUUAGUACAUCUAGACAGUUGGUAUGUACUAAUCUUUUCUUUUACCCCCUGACGGUCCUGAGGGUUUUGAGGGGAUGGUCAGAUGCAAACUCUUAAAGGCAAUAGUCGCUAUAAGUUUAAAAGCUGGGGGAUGAUUAUAGCUUGUUGUCGAAGAGUUUGCAUCGUGCCUUUAGGCACCUUGUGGCCUGAACUGAAGGAUCAAUGGACCUAAAGGUCUCUGUAUUUUAACGAAACAAAUCACUAAUAACUUAAAUAGGACGGUGGCCAUGGAAGUCGGAAUCCGCUAAGGACUGUGUAACAACUCACCAACCGAAUGUACUAGCCCUGAAAAUGGAUGGCGCUCAAGCGUCUCACCCAUACCUCACCCUUAGGGUAGAAACGAUGCCCUAAGGAGUAGGCGGCCGUAGGGGUCAG
rnacentral:rRNA from 1 species